GACGAACGCUGGCGGCGUGCUUAACACAUGCAAGUCGAACGGGAAGGCCCUGCUUGCAGGGUACUCGAGUGGCGAACGGGUGAGUAACACGUGGGUGAUCUGCCCUGCACUUCGGGAUAAGCCAGGGAAACUGGGUCUAAUGCCGGAUAGGAGCCAUUUUUAGUGUGAUGGUUGGAAAGGUUUUUUCGGUGUAGGAUGAGCUCGCGGCCUAUCAGCUUGUUGGUGGGGUAAUGGCCUACCAAGGCGGCGACGGGUAGCCGGCCUGAGAGGGUGGACGGCCACAUUGGGACUGAGAUACGGCCCAGACUCCUACGGGAGGCAGCAGUGGGGAAUAUUGCACAAUGGGCGCAAGCCUGAUGCAGCGACGCCGCGUGGGGGAUGACGGCCUUCGGGUUGGAAACUCCUUUCGCUAGGGACGAAGCUUUUUGUGACGGUACCUAGAUAAGAAGCACCGGCUAACUACGUG
rnacentral:rRNA from 1 species